rnacentral:rRNA from 1 species
AUGAACGCUGGCGGCGUGCCUAAUACCUGCAAGUCGAGCGAACAGACGAGGAGCUUGCUCCUCUGACGUUAGCGGCGGACGGGUGAGUAACACGUGGAUAACCUACCUAUAAGACUGGGAUAACUUCGGGAAACCGGAGCUAAUACCGGAUAAUAUAUUGAACCGCAUGGUUCAAUAGUGAAAGACGGUUUUGCUGUCACUUAUAGAUGGAUCCGCGCCGCAUUAGCUAGUUGGUAAGGUAACGGCUUACCAAGGCAACGAUGCGUAGCCGACCUGAGAGGGUGAUCGGCCACACUGGAACUGAGACACGGUCCAGACUCCUACGGGAGGCAGCAGUGGGGAAUCUUCCGCAAUGGGCGAAAGCUUGACGGAACAACGCCGCGUGGGUGAUGAAGGUCUUCGGAUCGUAAAACUCUGUUAUUAGGGAAGAACAAAUGUGUAAGUAACUAUGCACGUCUUGACGGUACCUAAUCAGAAAGCCACGGCUAACUACGUG